CAGCCGUAAACUAUGCUCGCUAGGUGUCAGGCAUGGCGCGACCGUGUCUGGUGCCGCAGGGAAGUUGUUAAGUCUGCUACUUGGGGAGUACGUCCGCAAGGAUGAAACUUAAGGAAUUGGCGGGGGGAGGCACCGCAACGGGAGGAGCGUGCGGUUUAAUUGGAUUCAACACCGUAAACUACACCAGGGAAGACUGUUACAUGAAGGCCGAGAUGAAGACUCUGCUAGAUUUCUAGAGAGGAGGUGCAUGGCGUAGACGUCU
rnacentral:rRNA from 1 species